CAAUAGCGUAUAUUAACGUUGUUGCAGUUAAAAAGCUCGUAGUUGGAUUUCUGGAGGGAGCGUCGGCCCGUAUUUACGAGUGCGUGACGUCUCUGUCCAUCCUUGCGGGAAGGCACGGCAUUGAUUUGUUGUGUCGGAUCGCAUCAUUUACUGUGAAAAAAUUAGAGUGUUCAAAGCAGGCUUUCGCUUGAAUACAUUAGCAUGGAAUAAUAAGAUAGGACUUUGGUGCUAUUUUGUUGGUUGAGCCUAAAGUAAUGAUUAAUAGGGAUAGUUGGGGGCACCUGUAUUGCGUUGUCAGAGGUGAAAUUCUUGGAUUUACGCAAGACAAACAGCUGCGAAAGCGUCUGCCAAGGAUGCUUUCAUUAA
rnacentral:rRNA from 1 species